UACGGAGGGAGCUAGCGUUGUUCGGAAUUACUGGGCGUAAAGCGCACGUAGGCGGCUUUGUAAGUUAGAGGUGAAAGCCCGGGGCUCAACUCCGGAACUGCCUUUAAGACUGCAUCGCUUGAAUCCAGGAGAGGUGAGUGGAAUUCCGAGUGUAGAGGUGAAAUUCGUAGAUAUUCGGAAGAACACCAGUGGCGAAGGCGGUUACCUGGAGCUUUGCUGACGCUGAUGCGCGAAAGCGUGGGGAGCGAUCCGG
rnacentral:rRNA from 1 species